GACAGAGGGUGCAAGCGUUAAUCGGAAUUACUGGGCGUAAAGAGUUCGUAGGCGGUUAGUUAAGUUGGAUGUGAAAUCCCCGGGCUUAACCUGGGAGGGUCAUUCAAAACUGGCUAACUUGAGUGUGGUAGAGGAAAGUGGAAUUUCCGGUGUAGCGGUGAAAUGCAUAUAUAUCUGAAGUAACACCAGUGGCGAAGGCGGCUUUCUGGACCCUUACUGACGCUGAGGAACGAAAGCGUGGGGAGCAAACAGG
rnacentral:rRNA from 1 species